rnacentral:lncRNA from 1 species
GAAUUGUUUACAUUUGUCAUUGUUUUAGGUGCACUCGACUCGUUCGGCACAGGACCGAUAGCUUCUUUAUUUAUGAUUUUAGACUUCUUUUGUUGUUUUUUGACAGCUUUUUAAGUUCAGUUUCACUAGAUACAUUUCCGUUACUUGCAUUUGCUUUCCUUUUACUGCUCUUGCUAUUCACAGUGUUACAUAGUAAUGUUUUUUCAUCACAACAAAUUGUUUACAACUUAUCGGCUUGCCGCUUACAUAUUUUUU